rnacentral:lncRNA from 1 species
UGGAGAGAGAGAAUUUUGUUUUAAAUUAAAAUUUAAUUUAAUUUUUUAAAAAUUAAAUUUGAUAUUUUUAAGUUUUAAAUUUAAUAUUUUAUAUCUUUCAAAUUUAAAUUUAGUAUUAAAUUUAAAAUUUGAUAUUUAAAAUUAAAUGAACAAUCAAAUUUUUAUUCAAUUAUAAAAUUUAUCUAAUUCUCAUUUAUAUCUAAUUUUGUACCUAUCCAUGAUAUAAGUUAGUUUUUAUUUAUAUUCAAACCAAACAAAACCAAAAUGUCCAAAUACCCAACCCAU